rnacentral:rRNA from 1 species
UGCCAGCAGCCGCGGUAAUACGGAGGGUGCAAGCGUUAUCCGGAAUCACUGGGUUUAAAGGGUGCGUAGGUGGACUAGUAAGUCAGAGGUGAAAUCCCGCAGCUUAACUGCGGAACUGCCUUUGAUACUGCUUGUCUUGAAUCAGGUUGAGGUAUGCGGAAUGUGGCAUGUAGCGGUGAAAUGCGUAGAUAUGCCAUAGAACACCGAUUGCGAAGGCAGCAUACUGGCCCUGUAUUGACACUGAUGCACGAAAGCGUGGGGAGCGAGCAGGAUUAGAUA